CUUCACAGAAGCUUUACAGAAGCUUUACAGAAGCUUUACAGAAGCUUCUGUAAAGCUUCUGUGAAGCUUCUGUAAAGCUUCUGUAAAGCUUCUGUGAAG
rnacentral:miRNA from 1 species